AUGGACCCGGAGGAGAUCGCGCGCAAGGAGCUGGAGAAGAUGGAGAAAAAGAAGCGGAAGCACGAGAAGAAGCUGCUCAAGAGCCAGAGCCGCCACCUGCACUCGCCCGGCGGGCCGGGGAGGCGCUCAGCCGGCCUGUGCCCGCUCGCUCAGGCUCCGGCUCACACAGCAGAAUCAGGUGAUCGGCUUCGAAACACUGCUCUUUCCUCUUUCUUCCGUUUCCUUCCUUUUACUUUUAUUAUUAUUAUUUUUUUUUUUUUUAAGAAAAACGCUGUUAUCAGUUCGGAUGUAGGCAGCAACCCAGGACCGGGGGGUUGAGACCCUCCUCCUCUCAAAGGAGCACAAAAAAAAAAAGAAAAGAAAAGAAAGCCCCACCCCCACAGAACCCACAACG
rnacentral:lncRNA from 1 species